AGGGAGAAGCCUGGCCUCGGAGCAGCAGGGGUGAGGCGCUUUUCGUGCAGCCUGGAAAAUAGCCCCACCCAGUCAAAGAACUAGUCAGCCAUUUCCCCAGAAAAGGAUCCCAGGCUCUCCCCAGUCAGAAGCUUAACUGAAACCAGAGCUGGGUGGACCCUCGCCCACCAGGAAUAGUGGCUAUAAUGACAAGAGUCAUUGUGUGUUUUGCUGCUUAAUGAAGCAGAGACAUUCCUCAGGCAUUUUGUCCCGGACACAGACCACAUUCCGUGCUCUCCACCUUGCACUGAGGCGCAUGGAAGUUGGCCUACAGCAACGAGAGACAGAGCCCUGAAAGCUUCUCAGACUUCAGUCCUGCCCUUCCACAAGCUCUGCGGAAGCCCGGUCCUGCUUAUACUGGACACUUAUCAGGCACUGACAAGAAAAGUCUCCAUUGCUCGGAGGAGAAACAAAGGGUGAGUAAGCUAUUCUCUCCUUUGGGGAAAAAAAAAGUCUGUCUUCAAUAGUUUCCUUUGUGCAAAUAUUUGUUCUAGUCUAUUUCGUUUACUAACAAUGGGGCUGUUCGGAAUGUGUAGUUUUCAUGAGUUUCAGACAAUCUUCUUUAUUCCCCUUCUCUGAGUUUUAUUUGGGCUAUGACAUUCCAAGGGCCGGCUCUGAGGCCAGCCAGCCUGCAGACCUCUGGUGACAGGACCCCAAGGUCCCGCCUGGCUCUCCUGCCUGGCUCUCUCCUCCACCCUCUCCUGGUUCGCUGGGCUGCCUGGUGAGUAAGCCUCCUGUUCCGUCCCUGCUUACUUCAUUGCAAAAUGAGGGUGGUAAAAACAUUUACUAACCUCAACAGGAUGUUGUGGCAAUUAGUGGAUAAAUAAUUAUAGAGCACACUCACAUGUAAUGCUCCUGAUAAAGCUACAUUUAUUUUUAGGAGCUCACAAAAGGAAGAUUUUCCUUCUGAGCGUCCAGGGGUGAUUCUUGGCGUGGCCUGUGAUUUGGCCUCUGGUUGGGUGUGCCUCCAUCCUCCUAGGGACAGAAUUCUGAACAUCCCAACUACAGGCCCAUUUCCCUAGAAUGUAGCCUUCCAGGACCAGAAUGCUCUCCUUUUCAGCAGCACUGAAUGGAUAUCAUAGAGUCGUCAGUUAAAUUUUCCAGGACUCUCUGUUAAAUUUGAAUUUAAGAUAAACAAUAAAUAAUAUUUUAGUAGAAGGAUGUCUUGCUUCUCUUACUACUAUUGCAUGAAUCAUAAUUAUUCAAACAAUUAUUCAUCAUUUAUCUGAAAUUCAAAUUUAACUGGACCUUCUUUUCUCUUUCUUUAUUUCUUUCUUUCUUUCUCUCUCUCUCUUUCCUUCCUUCUUUCUUCUUUCUUCCAAUUUUUUGCAAAAUCUGGCAAACCUAGGGGUCCACAAUGUUGUGUAGCAACCUCUCAGGACGAUGAUAUUUAGAAGAAGCAUAAUGUGUACCUUCAAGAAAGCACAAACUUGUUCUUGGUGUUAAUGUAUGACAUGCAAUUCUGCACCCAAAUUAUGUAAUGCUCCUCAUUAAGGCAGAAGUCUUCAAAUGGGACUGCUCACCUAGUCCUGCCUUCUACAGUUGUGACCCUAAUAGUCAGGUAGUGCCCAUCCCGUGUGCCUAUAUGUAACAAUAUAGAGAAUGUGUCUUUAACUCUAGGACUUUGUGAAGAUGAGAAAAUGUUUGAGAAGGAUUGAACCUCACACUCAGUAGCAGAAUAUUUGGUUGAACUUAUACCAUUCAUGUUUUUCAAGGUCAAAAAAAAAAAUAGUCAACAGCAGCAAUUUCACAUGUUCAACCUAUCCCUGCAAGCUCCCAUUCAAGAAACCAUUGCAGACACAGAGCAGGCUCUGCCGUCUGGCUCCUGCACCUCCUCCGUCACCCAGCUGGAUCUGCUUCUGGGUGACGUGACCACCUGCUCUGUUAGGACAUUUGCUCUGUUGGGGCAUGUACUCUGGUAGAGUGCUUGCUUCCAGCAUUAUGCCCUUAAGAUGAGGUCUCUGUCUAUGCUUAUGUAUUUUCCCAAGGUAGUGAGUGUUUACAAAUUGACUUCAAUGGAAGGAAGGCCUUGGUUCUUACAAAAUUCUCUGGAAAAGGAUGAUUGUGGAGAUUAAGUUCUGGUAAUAACUAAGUAGCUUAGUAAGACUAAAGCCUGAAAUAAUAAUGGCAAUUUUUUGAAAAAUAUUUUAAAAACCUAGAGAGUGAGCAGAAGCAGGUAGAAACUGGAGUGGAGUUUACUCUUGGAAGAUGAGAUUUGGGAGUUUACAGCUUCUUUUAUUUUUUUAUUUUUCUUGAGAGAACUUCCCUUACCACCGUCCCCUUUAUAGGCAGAAAACAUCAGCCUUACUGGCUUGAGGUAGAUGUGAUAUAUACAACAACAGUAUCACAAAGUGUGUAUGUGUGUGUGUGUGUGUGUGCAUAUGUGCAGUGUAGGGCAUCAGAAUAUGCCACCCCAAAAUAUGCCACUUUGGCAUAAAGAUAUUUUGAGCUAAAGGCGAAUGAGAAUCAACAGAUGCAGAAAGAAGCCUCCUUGGAGCUUCCAUUAUCUGACUACAAACAGAAUAUUCUGAAAAAUAGGACUGCAAUAAAUCCCCCCUCCCAGGGGAGUUUUGUGGCCAUGAGGACAGAGUCAGCACCAAGAUGGGUCCACAUGUAGACUGUACUAAAAAACCCUAGCUACUGUUAGUUUCCCCCAUAUAUCUACCUUCUCACAGUUUGCCACCCAGAAAAGCGGAAACUUCUUUUCCUUGUCUUGUCAUUUCUCUAAAAUUGUAUUGUUCUUUGUUAAGGUGAGAAAUAUGGCCAAGUUCUAACCACUCCUUUGAGUUACUCAUGACUGAGUUCUCCUGUGUGUAUGCACACUGACCUGUUGAUAAACUGUUUUUCUCUUGUUAAUUUCUCUUGUUAAUGUCUCUGUCAAUUUAAUUUCCAGAGCCCCAGAUAGGGAACCUAGGAGGGGAGGGAGAGGAUAGGAUAUCCUCCCAACAGAAGCAUAUGGAACUCUACUGCUAUAAGGUUCUUAUAAAGCAUAUCAAGCUGUACAAUAUUACCCUAAGUGGAUUGUGAUAAAGUUGUGUAUUGUAAUCACUACAGUAACUACUAAAAAAUGCAAAGAGGCAAAAAUACUAAAUGUUGUUAUUUUUAUAAAUGUUAAGAAGAUUUUAUGUAAAAGAAGGUAGGGGCUGGGCACAGUGGCUUACGCCUGUAAUCCUAGCACUUUGGGAGGCCAAGGCGGGUGGAUCAGGAGGUCAGGAGUUCAAGACCAGCCUGGCCAAGAUGGUGAAACCCCGUCUCUACUAAAAAGACAAAAAUUAACCGGGCGUGGUGGCAUGUGCCUGUAAUCCCAGCUAUUCAGGAGGCUGAGGCAGAGAACUGCCUAAACCCCGGAGGCGGAUGUUGCAGUGAGCCGAGAUUGUGCCACUGCACUCCAGCCUGGCGACAGAGAAAGACUCUAUCUCAAACAAACAACAACAAAAAAAAGAAGGUAGGGAAGGGAAAAUAGGGGAAAUAAAAAUAGAUGAGAAAAUAAGAAAUAAAUAUGAAGCCAGUAGACUUAAACCAUAUCAGACAAGCAAGAUCUAAUUAUAUGCUGUCUUCAAGAAAAGUGUUUUAAAUAUAGACACACAAAAAGGAUAAAGCAAAAAGAUGAAAAAUGUUAUUAUGGAAAUGAUAAGCAUAAGAAAACUGGGGUGGCUAUAUUACUUUUGGAGAAAAUAGCAAGAUAAGGAGUAUUACUAAAGAGAAAGAGAAAGAUUUUAUAAUUCCAGAAGGUCCAAUACAUCAGGAAGAAAUAAUAAUAUACAGUAUUCAAACCACCUGCAGCAAAAAAUGACAGAGAUAAAGGAAGAAGAAGAAGAUCCCCAAUCAUGACGGAGAUUUUAACACCUGCCUCUCAGGAACUGAUAGAACAACUAG